CCCUUCCGGGCGCUCUGGAGCGUCAGCUACCUGCCCGGCGCCGGGGGCACUGUCCCGGAGGGAGAUUUAGGUAUUUGAAAAGGCUCCUAGCUACUGCAAUCCAGCCAAAGACAAUAUGCAAACACAUGCACAUGGCUGUGCUUCAGUGAAACACAUUACAAGGAGCGGAUGGGUGUCCAGCUUCAGCUUCAGCGUGGAUUAAAUACUGCAA